UGACAUCCGCACUGCCAAAAUCAAAGAUGCUGGGCUUAUUUUGGCAGACACGCUCCGGAAAUUCUUAUUUGAUCUGAAUGUUGAUGAUGGCUUAGCUGCAAUUGGUUAUUCUAAAGCAGAUAUCCCUGCUUUAGUGAAAGGCACUCUCCCUCAGGAAAGAGUGACUAAACUAUCCCCUCGUCCCCAGACCGAAGAAGAGCUAUCUGCCCUGUUUGAGGCAUCCAUGAAACUUUAUUAGUUUAAAUAUAUUGCAUGUUCUUUAAUAAUAAAAACUAACAUGGAGGUAAUUUUCCACAGACAUAGUCUAAACCAGUUCAGAUAAUGAAGGAACAUGGAACUCUGAUGCUUGUAUUUUACUAUCCACUGCCAAAAGGUCAGGUAAUUCAUGUUCAGUUCAACACUGUUUUUGUGAUUUAGGGGCUGAUUGUGUAAUCAAAGGGACUACUCAUGUAAAGGUUGUUGGCUCAGAUCUUAAGCUUUGCAAAGGACUUUCUCUUGCUUGAGAGCUGGACAAAAAAUUGAGAUAAUUUGUCCUGGAAAUUUUUUUAAAAUGUUCAGGGGAUGAAUUUUAUCUUGUAUUAUAAUUUUCUAUGACUAUUUUUGUCUUUUAAAAAAAAAACCCAAACUAUAAACUGUGUAGGAAAAACAGGCCACUCCUCCUCAGGCAAUAUUCUCAAACACAAAUUUGAACCUGCUCAAUUCAGAAGGUUCACCUUAUGAUUUUUCUACUGUCUCAUUCAAUUUGGGGCCUGAUAUAAAGAUGGUUAACAUCAUGGGUAAAAAAAUAUAUAUAACUUUUUAACAAGUCUGGAAAAGGCUUCACAAAACUUUUGUUUCACAGUAUUUAUUUUUAAAGUGGCUUGCUAGGCAUUUUUGUCUUUUCAUUCAGAAGUUAUGCGUGGGAAUAAGUUUGCUUGUUCCAACAGGCUAACUGAUUACUUGUCAACUGAAAAAGCAAACUGGCAGAAGGGGGAUAAAAUUCAAAUGUAAGUAUUAAAAUCUUUUAAAACUUUCCUGGAUUUUUCACCCUCUGUUGAGCCCCUUUGGGGUAAUGAGAUUUGCUGCCUGCGUAGAGUAGCAUAGUAUUUGCUGCCUCACACAGCAGUCUUAUACAGAGAAUAUUGGAAAACAGGAAAAUUAUUUUGAAGAGAUUUUUAAAGUUAUUUCUGUUUUGUGGAGUUUUAAAUUAACCUAUUUACUGGUUUUCACAAAAACUCUGACUUUUAGUAUUGCUAUUUUAAUCAAUAUUUUAUCAAACUUUUUAUGAAUUUUUUAUUUAUUGAAAGCCAUGUUGUCUUACUGAAAACUGGGUUUUCUGUAAAAGAAAAAUAUCAAUAAUUUUGAAAACAAUUUUGAUAAAAAUAGCAAUUAAAAAUGUUGCAGAAAGUUUUUUCACGCAAAAUAGAAAAUUUUGAUAAUGUUGACAAAUUUGUCAGAAAGUUUUCCAAAAAAGAUCAGUUUUCAAAAAUUUCUUAAGCAAAAAAUAUCAACCAUUAUAAGAUGUUUUCUCUGUACUAGACAGGGCUUUAAUGUCAGUCAUAGUCCCAGUUUGCUUCAGCAAAUUCUGGAAGUUGGCACAUGUCUAUAUCACAGAACAGAAGAGAGAAGGUUUUUUUUAAUUGAAGAUUAUUUCUAUUAGGCACAGAUUUCAUUGGCAUUGUACUGCAACACCGGCAGCAGUAUAUACAAUACUCAGACUGUAUUCAUAUAAAACAAAUUCUGAUGUCUUUUAAAUUCUGUUCAGGCACCAAUUUCAUGCAGUUGCCAUAGCACAAGCUCGGUGUAGGAAAAGCAUAACAUGCUAGUUAGUUCCUUUACUCAGUUACUUUUACUCUUUGCCUCGUUAUGAUUCUGUUCUGCAGCCGCCCCACAUGCAGCUCUUCCACUGAAGUAGAGGAAGGAUGUCUUGUACAUUUAUGACUAUUAAUCUUGGCUCAAUAAGACUGGUGCCUUCCAACCACAUGUUAGGACCUUAUGAUGUAAAUAUAUUGGAUGUGUGGUUUUUAGGUCCCUUUAGUGCUCGGCACAAGGUUGGAUGGAUAGCGAUGGAGACUGAAGGUCCUCUGUCUAUCCACUGAACGGGUAAAGCAUGGACAGUGGUUAUACAGACAGCUCUGCCAAUAUCCCUCAGCCUAUUCUGAGAAGCUAAUUCAUUUCCCCUGUCACUCCAUAUCCAUUACCUCCUUGCUCAUUCUAGUGAAAAUGCCAACAAGAGCCUCAAUUGUGAAAGCUGGUUUCACAAUGUGUGGAUUUUCUUUUCUAUAUUACAAAGACUCACCCUGCACUUUACCUUUUUGUUGCAUCUUUUAUAUAUAAUUUCUGUUCUCCCUCUCUGUGAAGUUUCAUCUUUGUGCAAUAGAAAUGGUACAGUGCACUGAGGAGACAAUUUUUGUGGGAAUCUAUCUUCUAGCCAGACACUUUGGAAUUGGAGGGGAUGUAGCUUCUUCCAAUUGAACAGCGGAUGAGUUUCUUAGGUAUGUUAUUUCUCCUGAGUGUUUUGAUGGGUAAGAAGGAAAGUGGGUCUUUCAUUCUAUCAUGGUUCUUAUUUACCAAUAAUAUUGGUAUGUGAGUAAUUAGUAGAAUGGUUUCACUACUAAUAGUACUUUACACUUACAUAUAACCUCUUUAAUUGAAGGAAAUCAAAGCAAUUUACUAACAUUCAUGAAUUAAGCCUCACAACACCCUGUGAGGUAAGCUAGUAUUAUUACCCCUAUUGUAUAGAUGAGGAGACUGAGGAACAGAGCAAUUAAGUGACUUGUCUAAGGUCACACAGGAAGCUUGUGGCAGAGUCAGAAAUAGAACCCAAGUCUCCUGACACCUAGUCUUACGCAUAUCCAUAAGACCAUCCUUCUACUACUAAUUAUUAGCCAGUGCUGAAAACUAUGUGAGAAGAAUCAAGAGAUGAAUCCAUCCCAUUCAAAUAAUAACAGUUUGACAGUGCUCGUGGUGUUAAAUCCAGAACAGGAUCCAGGAUACGAGUACAGUUUAUUGGCAGUUUUAUUUGCCACUGAGUUAGAGGUUUUUAAUGUAAUAAAAUAUACUAUUCCGUACCUGAAGGUCCACAUUUUCAAACGUGUGCACAUAUCUUUGUGCAGGUCCAGUUUGCACUCAUGAAUAUGGGACUUGUGCAUGUGUGGUUACAACUCGUGAACACCCAUUGGUUGGGCACGUGUAGAAAAUCUGAGCCACUUGUUCUUUAUCUGAUUUAUAAAAAUGUUAAUGCCUCAAACUCUAAAGCCUUCCAUAAUGUAUCUUGUAUAGUUUGAAUGGUGCCUUUGGGAGCUAUUGCAAUACAAAUAAGUAAUGAUGCAUUUCCUACAAAUAUAAGCAUGUGAAAAUGUUUGAGAACUGUUUUAACUGUGAUGUUAACUUGAAUCUUGAAAUGUACCUGUGAAUCCAAACCAUUCAGAGGAAAUAAGCUUUCAUUAGCUUCGCUGGGUAGUAUGAUUAUUCCUGAUUAGAUGCUUACUCAAUGAGCUUGACAGUAUGUUGACAAACCAUUGCAUUGUGAAUAAUUGAAAAGAAUGUCCAAUUUCCAAAAAUAAAGAGCAUCCUAUCUACUGUA